GGGGGGGGGGGGGGGGGGGGGGGGGGGGGGGGGGGCGGGGGGGGGGGCGGGGAGGGGGGGCGCUUGCGGGGGGCGGGUGGGGGGCGGGGGAGGGGUAGAGCGGAAGCUCCUUUUUCGUGGGGGAUAACGUAGGGAAACUUACGCUGAUACCGCAUACGACCUACGGGUGAAAGCAGGGGAUCUUCGGACCUUGCGCGAUUGAAUGAGCCGAUGUCGGAUUCGCUAGUUGGCGGGGUAAAGGCCCACCAAGGCGACGACCCGUAGCUGGUCUGGGAGGAUGAUCAGCCACACUGGAACUUAGACACGGGCCAGACUCCUACGGGAGGCAGCAGUGGGGAAUAUUGGACAAUGGGCGCAAGCCUGAUCCAGCCAUACCGCGUGGGUGAAGAAGGCCUUCGGGUUGUAAAGCCCUUUUGUUGGGAAAGAAAAGCAGCAGGUUAAUACCCCGCUGUUCUGACGGUACCCAAAGAAUAAGCACCGGCUAACUUCGUG
rnacentral:rRNA from 1 species